GUGGCCCUGGCCGAAGGUUUCCUCCUGAGUCAGGCAGAGGAGAGAAAGCAGGGAACGGAUCUCUUUGCAGAAAUGGACCUGGGUUCCUGUGAGACAGAGAGGCCUCCAUUGGACACCAGAGAGCGGCCACUGGGUGACAGAAGGAUGCCAGGCAAAACCUCCUGAUCCGCCUUUUCAUGGGGGCAGAAGGGAAGCAGCGGCUGUGGAACCAGAUCAGGGUCCAGUCUGCUUGGAAGAUGUCACCAUUCGUUUCACGGACGAGGAGUGGGCGUUCCUGGAUCCUGACCAGAGAGCUCUGCAUAAGGACGUCAUGGAGGAGACUCGUGGGAUCGUGGCC